rnacentral:lncRNA from 1 species
CUUCGCUCAAUGCUUCUUUCAGCAAACCAGCUUCAAAGAAAUUAGAAGAAUCAUUCGGCUGCCUCUGCCUAAAGAAAUAAAAGCCGGGAAUGUGAGCUGCCCGCGGCAAUAGGUCCAGUACAGAACUUUGUAGGCAAUGCUUUGGCGUUUCCUGGGCAGGGCGUACCGUUGUUGACUUUUCUAUUUGGAUUUCCAUUGUAUCAGAAUGAAUUAUGUCAAUGAGAUCACCACCUGUGAAUCAAUGAAUCUGAUGAUCGGAACAGAAAAUAAGAUGAUAGAUGUAGCAAAUCGAACUGAUAGGUUGAUUGCAAGUAAAACUCACAAGUUUUUGAUGCUGCAAUAUCUUUGACGACCUGGUACAAACUCAAAAUUGAGUGAAAACUAAAAUUUUUAGAGUGUUUUGAUGCUUAGGAAUGAGUCCGAAGCUUGCUCUGUAUUCUUUUUUCCUGCCUUGCUUUUUAUAAGUGAUUGUUUAUCGUUCUCUUGCAUUAUUGCAUUGUUUAUUAUUCUAAAAAAAUGUCUCACUACAUGUUAAACAAUUUUAGCCACAUGAAUAUUAAAAGACUGAACUCGCUUUCAUUGACUUAGAUCUCCCAUAGGCUACAGACAUGAGGCGUGAUACUAAAGGAAAGCUAACCCACACUAUGCUGUUAAAAAUAGUAAUAAAAAUAAAAAAUUAAACCUUGAUUAAAUUUUACAAAACUGCAGGAGUGCAAUAUUAUAUAGCUCACGUGCUUUGUCAUUUGAGAUUCCCCGAAUUUGGAUGGAGAAUGAUGUUCCAUCAAGAAUUUUAUAACCUGUAAUUUUCUUUUUUGAAAGUUUAUUAUUAUUGUUAUUGUUCCAAAAGAUAAAAUAAUGAAAUAAUCACUCAGUAUUAAAAACAAAAUUUUUAAUUUUUUUCUUGGGUUAAUUCCGUCCUGCCCCCAAAUGUUUCAACAUUUUCCACCGCGUCCCCAAAUGUUUCAACAAUGCUCACUCCACACCCAAAUCCGUUAUUUUGACCGUUUAUUCUAACGGUCAAAGAGCAAAUUUAGAAGUUCACGGCCUAAAUAUUAUUUAAUGAUGAUAAAUUAAAUUUAUUUGAUAAUUUAAUUGAUGGGAUUAUUAUUAAUUACCUUUAAAUAAAAAUUUUUAAUGUAAAUAUUAAUUAUUAAAUUAGUAUUUUAUCUCAUUUUAUUCUUCUUUAAUUCAAGAUAAGGGGUAUUUCGGACAUUUACUUAAAAUUCAAAUAGUUCCGAUAAACAUAACGGUCAAAUUAACGGAAUUGGGUGUGGAGUAAGCAUUGUCGAAACAUUUGGGUGCGCGACAGAAAAUGUCAAAACAUUUGGGGGCUAGGUGGAAAUAACCCUUUUUUCUUUUACUUUUCCUUUUCCUUUUUUCUUUAUGAUUUUUACCGACCAAAGAUUAAUAAAAGCUAAAUAUUAGCUAUCACUUCACCGUCCAACUACUUUUGACCACAUUUAUAGAGUCAAUUUUUUUUAAUUUAUUCUCCUAAUAUACGAAGGUAAGAAAUUUUAUUUAUUAUUAAAUUAUCAAACGUUAUUGAUUAUUGCUUAUCUUAUUAAUAUUUUUAAAAUUUUCAUAUAUGGUUAGGGUUUGUUUCGGCUAUUCAUAUUAAUUCUCUUAGUCUCGUAGGCAAUAAAUUUGGAGUAGAUAUCGCUUAUGUUGCAUAAGAAAUUAAAAGAAGAAAUUGCUCGUGUGCUUAAGAAAAAUUUCCUCUACAAAUUGAUACAAGCUCAAAGUUAUGCUAUUGAGUUUCCGAUGAGCUUAAUUUAUUGUCGAUAUUUUCUACUAAUAAUAUUUUUUAAAAAUAAAAAAGAUGAACAAUAUUUAAUAUUUAAUUUAUUUAAACAUGUUAAUUAAGUACUUGAGACCAUUUUAAUACUUUUAAACUCUAAAUUAUACUCUUUUAGUAGAAUACAUAGCUUGUAUUUGAGUUAUAUUUUUUAGUUUUAAAUAUAAUUAUUUUUUUUAGAAUAACUAUUUUUUUUAAAAGACUCCUAAUAUUCUAGUCAUUUUAGGACUGCAGCGGCUGAUAAAAUAAGUUACUUUUACUAUACAUAUGAAAUAACUUGCUGAUUAAAAAAUUAGCUUGGUGUUUCCUAAACUGUAUUGUUGUGGUUGCUUUGAGUUUGAAAAGCAGAGUAAUAAAAUUUAUUUUAAAAGUGUUAUUUUAUUAUAUAAUGACAAAAAUAGAUACAAGUUUAAUUUCGUUUUGCUUUUUAGAGUAUGUUUAAUCAAUUGUAACAUGACUUUUUUUUUUUUUUUUAGAACACAUAAAAUUACAUAAAGUGAAAAGAAAAACUCAAUUAAUAAGCUUCAUAAUCUGUUAUAUAAAAUGUAAUAAAAAUUCAUACUAAUACAUAAUUCAAAUAAAAUAGAAACAUUUGCAUUAAACUUGUUAUAAUAAUAAUCCUCAGACUUUCUAUUUCUUGUGAUUCAGAACCGUGAGGAUUGUGAUACUUUUUUUAAGUGUUAUUGUCUCCUUCUAUUAAAAAAUUGAAUUAGGAUUAUUUUUAAUAUUGUCAAGAUGAAGAUCACCUUGGACAUACCUCCUUAUAUAAUUGUGUAAUGACAUAGGUGCAAUAAUGUUAAUUUUUAGUUAAGUAAUUUGAUUGUGGUGGUAACAUGAUCUAUUGUGUUUUAUAUAUUAAAGGUUAUGAAAAAAUAAGAUAUUAUUAUAUUUUUGUUAAAAUAUUAAGAUAAUAAUAGAAAAUUUAGAAAUAUGUGGUUAUUUAUUUAAUAAAUUGUAUAUAAAAAGUAAUUAUUUACUUACUUUUAAAAUUUGCUCUCAAAAUGAAAAAGAAAAUGAAAAAAAGUAACUCUUACAAAAUUUAUCAAAUAUUAUUUUUAUUCAUUAAAUAAGUAAGUUAUUGAGUUUCAAUUUCGGUACUAAAUGUGGCUUAAGGUCUAUUUUAAUCAUUUCAACUUAUAGACUUUGAUGUUCACUUUAUAAUAUAAAAUUUUAAAAAAAAUCUUAGUGAGGGAUGCUUUAAGAUACUGGGUCCACUCCUGCGUGAGCGGAAAUCACGCUGAUUCUCUAGCAUAUGAGGAAAUCAUGAUGAUCUCCCAAAUUAACGUGAUAUCUGCUGAUUGAUUGUUGAUGAGAUUCUCUUCUCACCUAAUUUCUAACAAUUUUAAGUGAACCCGCGGCGGUUGAUCAUAAUUAGUAUUUGCAUGCGGGAACCAUGUGAUUUCCUUAGAAAAUAUUCGAAAUUUUUAUAAAAUCGAGGUGCCAGUAGUUAAAUCCCCAAGAACUGCUCACGCUGGAUAGUAGGUCCUAUUACAAUCAACGGGUAUUUACAAUAUAAAUUAUAUUAGCCGCCGUCUAAACCUAUACAUAUUUAGAGUAAGGAUUGGCUUUGCCCAUACUUUAGCCAAGUUGGCUUUGAAUAUUGAUUAACAUAUCACGUGGUUGGGUACAUGCCCACCGAAUCUUUUGUAGCUUUUCGUUUAAUUAAUGAAAGUUUUCUUUUUGUAUCUUUUUAUAUAUAUCGAACAUAAUUUAAAAAUUUUAUGCUUUUUAGGGUGAGAUCUCUCUAUUUCAUAUUCGAGAUAAAUUUAUUCUUACUUUUACUAAGGAAGAUUUAAGGUCGGAAAUAAUAUUAUUGAUGAAAAAAUUGAUUUCUACGGAUAUGAUGAAAUAAGUUACUAAUUAUUAAAAAAUAACUUAACAUUUGGUAAAUUAUAUUAUUUUAGUUGUUGUGAGUUUAAAAAAUAGAGUACACGUGUUUGAUAAAUUUUAUUAUAUAAAUAUUAUUUUAUUGUAUAAUAACCAAAAUAAACAUAAAUUUAAAUGACCUUUUUUAUAUUAAGAUUUACCAAAAAAAAAAAGAAGAAAACAUAAUUAUCUUUUUGUUAAAAUACUAAUAUCAUAAUAAGAACUUCAAAAUUAUGUUAUUUAAUUAACUACUUACAAAAAGUAACUCUUUCAUAUUUUUAAAAGUUGCUUAUUUUAUAAAUAAAUUUAAAAAAUAAGCAACUUUUAAAAAAUUACUAAAUACUACUUUUAGCAAAAUCUAUUAAAUAAACCCUCUUGCAACGUUUUAAUCUAAAUCUCGAAUGAGGUUCAAGUCUCUAACCACCCCUAUCUAUUAUAAUGGGACGAGAUUUUAAAUUGAGCUUGUUGCUGUUGGUAAGGGCAGAAAUUCACUACUAAGCUAUAAGUUGUACAAGAGAUUCUUUUUUUUUUCCCCCAAUGGCAGCACGAUAUAUUCUUAAUUAACUAAAAUUCCUAAAAUCAUAUUGAGCAAAUUAAACUCUAUCCCCGAGAACCCACGUAGUACAAUUAAAACUAAAGUCUAAAGCAUAAGUUAAAAGAAAAAUAUUAAUUAAAGGGAUAAAGAGCUAACAAAAUGUUAAUAAAACAACGAUAAACCACAAUUGAUUUAUUGUAGUUUAAUUAAGUGAGCAAACUGGCUCCUUGAUUUUAGUGAGUGUUUAUCUUAUCUUUUUUUUUUUUUUUAAUGUUAAAAUCCAAAUGAAGCAACAGUCUAAAAUAAUGAAUACGUGAAAACUGAUGGCGCAGGAAACCAUUGGGAAAUUGGGAUGGUGCCAAAGUAUGUUCCUCUUUGAGUAAUAAAUUGAAAAAUAAGAAGCAAAUAUUAUUUAACAAAAUGUUAUGUGUAGGGAAUUCUAUUAAACCGAAUUAUUGGAUUUUUUUUUUUUAAUCUGAAUGAUGAUUGGGUGAUGGAUUGUCUAGUGAAUUGUCGUCCUCUAAUUUGACAACAAACAUACAUGAUAGGCGAUUGUCGAUCGCCUAAAGUUUUAGAUUGGUUUUAAUAAAAAAUAUUAAUUUUGAUCGUUUGAAUAGACAUCAUUUUUAUCUGUGUCUCAUUAUUAUAUUUAACACGUAGCACGAUGAGGCUGGCCCGCUAGCAGCUAUCAAGUGACCCCUCACCUAUGCUAUAUUCUACCAUUUUUUUACGCUCUCCUCCAAUGAAAUUUCUAAGUUUUCUAAUUAAAUGUUAUAAACCCCAUGAUCUGGAUCCCUUGUGACAAAAGAAAGAAACCCAGAGCCGCUUUUAUUCUUGUGCUGAAAUAAAUCGCAGAAUUUCUGUUUCAUAUGUGUCAUUUGCUUUACACUUCCUAAUAAAUUUUCUGUAUUUUUUCAUAAAGAGAAGAAUUUCUUUUGAGUUACAACAAAACAUGUUUUUUUACGGAACCUGACUUCUACCUUUAUAUAUAUAUAUAUUUAAAAAAAAAAAACUACAGUCUGUAGCCUUUGGUUGUGAAUGAACGAAUUUACAAAUAACGUUUAAUGGAGCUUCUUGAUAAAAUAAUAAUAAUAAAUUUGAUUAUUUCAUUCUAUCUCUAUUAAUUGAGAAGUGUGUGGCAGCUUUUCUGUUUAUAAAGCUGGAAAGUAUUUUUAUUUGGGGUAAUUUUUAGGGACCUCCCCUUAUGUUGGAGUAUUGACAGUUUGAUAGAAAGUAUUUACGCAAUUACAAGGAUCUCCUCUGACGUUAAUGCAAAAAUACGUAUGACGUAACUAUAAAGAGCAAAUACGUAAAAGUAAAUUUAAAAUUUAAACAAAAGUAAAAUUCAAACAAAACUUGCUUGGAUGUCUGAGAACUAGAGAUAUAGACUCAGUAUUACCCAGUUACUACUGUUACUCAACAGACAAAUGAAAAUGAAUUUUUUCAGAAAAUGCACUCCACUUCGAAAACAGAACUUACACAACAAAACCCAAUUUCAUUUUCAUCGUUGGAGAAGAAGCAAUCACUAAUCUAUUUUCAUCUAAUGCACGAGAUGACAUCAUGCGGUGGUCCCUUGAAGUGAGUAUCACCGACGACCAGUGUCUGUCACGACUAGAAUUAGAUCGCAAAAGAGUUUAGUCUUCGAAAUACAACUUGCUUCCUUGAAUCAGUGGCUUACGACUUUUGUUGAUUAAAAAUAACAAUGGGUCUGUUUCAAUUAAUGAAUAUGUUGCUGGAUGUUGUUUUUAUUUGGGGUUAUUGGUGUUGAGUUGAAAAAUAGUUGGGUAAUGACUGAUAAUAGCUAUUGCAUAAUGGUUUAAGAGCUUCGUAAAUAAUACAAGUAGUGUAUAAAUGAUGAGUUUCAGUUUGCUUUGUAAUGUGGCCACUCAGUUUCAGUUAUGUGUUAGUUUCAGUUUAUGCAUAUAUGUUCUGUUUCAAAAGAAGAAUGAGCAUAAGCAAAGGUGCCAAUGAAGAAUGGGCUGCUGGAGUUACAAUUGAAAUGCAAGUUAUGCAUCCCAAGAGGGGGGGUGAAUUGGGAUUUUAAAAUUAUGCAAUACAAUUCGCACAACAAUUUAAUCCAUUGCCUUAAUCAAAUCAAAAACAAUAAAUUCAAUCAAGCACAAUAUUAAAAGAGUAAGGGAAGAAAAAACAAACACAAGGAUUUUUAAGUGGUUCGACUAUCCCUGCCUACGUCCACGCCUCCAAGCACACCCGGCUUGAGGAUUUCACUAUCCAAGCCUCCCAAGACUUCAAAUGUUUACAAUUGACUUCCAAGGUGUCAAUGGACCUUUACAACAAGAGAUUAUCUCCACAAUCUCUUCACCCCAAGUAUUUCUCACACUUGUACACUCACAAUUUGAUGAGAAAUGAAAAUCACAACAAUGAAACUCUCUUUAAGAGUAGAUAACAAAUUAUAGCUCAAUGAUGAUUCAAUAAAUGAUGAUUUGCGAAAGGGAAGCUCAAUAUAUGUUAUAUGAUCUUGUUUUUCCUUAUAUUAGUUCUUAGAAUGAAGUUUGAGUUGAGUUUUUAUAGUUAAAGCCCGAAAAAUAGCCAUUAUAGGUAAAUUUCCGCGACCCAAGCAGUUAACCGCUUGAUUUAUCCGGCUAGCCGCUCAGGAACAGUGAUAUUAUCGUUAUUUUUGAAAUUACUACAGUAUCACUGUUUACUAAAAUUAUACUUUGGCCCAAAACUUUCUAUAAUUCUACUAUAGCCCAAAACGUCAUAAAACUUUACAAAUAAAUCCAAUUUCAGAAUUUCAUAAUAAUAGUUACCUUGCCAAAACUUUAUGAAAUUAUGCUAUGGCCCCAAAUUUAUUAUUUUUCAAAGAGGUCCUUUUUAACAUAAUAUCCAUAUUUUUCAAAGUUUUCAAAAUCUUUCACUUUAGUCCAAAAUAUUCAUAAAUUAUAGUAUGGCCCAAAAAUUUUCAAAUGGUUGUAAAAACGUCCAACUCCGAAAUUUAAUAAUAAUACUUAUUAAAAUCAAAGAUUUCAAAACUUAGCAUUUAAGUCUAAAUUACUCAAAACCACAAAGUACUUUAUCUUAUAAAAAUAAAACCUUUUAGUUUAUAAAAAGUAAUUAAUUAAAUUAAUCUCUUGAGCUUCUCAAAUGCUAAAUCAUGCAUCAAUUAAAUCAUACCGGCUUUACAAGAAUUUAUCGCACUAAUUUGUCCGUUGAGCUCUAAACUUUAUUCUUGAUUUCGCCGUUGUCCGUUGAGUGUCUUGAGCUUGAUUUCACUUGCAUAAAUAUUACCCUUCAAAAACUAGUGAAAAUGUGAAAUACAAUAUCUAUUAAAUCACUUAAUACAUAUGUUUGUUAUCAUCAAAAUUACAUUAUAUGUAGCCCUUUAGGCUAACAACAAUUUCUAUUCCUGCCAAUUAAUUUAAUUUCAAUUCAUUUUAUUAAGGAGGAUAUAUAUAUGGAUUUUGAUUUUUUGAAGGGAUGAGACUCUACUUUGUAAAUUAUGAGCAUUGGCCAUAUAGUGGGCAUGACUGGUACAAGCCAACUCUUAGAUAUUGUUUUGUUUUGUUUUUAUUUAUUUAUUUAGGAAUCAGUAUUCUAAUUAACAACACAAAAAUUUUGCUUUUUCAAAGGGGCUGCUAGAAUUUGGAUUUUUUGACAUGCCAACUAUGGGAAAGUGACUGUAAUGAUAAUAAUAAAACCAAGCAUGUAAUAAACUUGGCAUAAUGUAAUUGAGCUUCUUGUUCCAUAGCUUGUAAACGAAGCUUAUGCUCUGUAUUUUUAGCUGACAAAUUUGUUAUGUCCUCUAAUAAGAAAACAAGGUUUCAUAAGAACAAGCACGAAAACGACAUAUGCUAAAAAAAUAUGGAAAGUUUAUUUUUCUUUAAAUUGGAGAAUAAAAGUAAAAAGAUAGCUUAUGAAUUCAAUCAAUGAAUGGUUGACGUGCUGGAUGCAUUAGAGCUUUGAGAAUCCAUUACUUUCAUGCAGUGUUUCAGCUUGAUUUUUUUGAAUGAUUUUGUUGAUGAGUUGAACUGAAUGGGUGAUGAGUUUGAAAAAUUACAGCAUAAGAGUUUUUAAGAAUUCUUAAAAAGAAGAAGAAGAAGAAGAAAGUGUGCUAUUGUGAUUUAUUAAUCUUGCAAAAGGCUCUAGUUAUAGGAGCUGCUGCUGCUGAAAUUAUUACGUUUAUUUACAAUGGUGAUAGUGGCAGCACAAUGUCAAUUUUUUUUUUAGGUAUGCAAUGUAAUUUUUUUUAUCCAUUGGGUAUUUUGGUGUGAAUUUUAUUAUCCAUAAGUUUAUCAUAUGAAUAAAGAUAUAUUUUGACAGUAAGGGUAUUUUUGGAAUUUCAACAGUCAACUAACGGUUCACUUAAUAGAAUACUAACGUCAGGAGAGGUUCCUAUAAUUACGUGAAUACUUUCUAUCAGAUUUUCAAUACACUAAACUUUAGGGGAGGUCCCUAAAAAUUACCCUUUUAUUUGGCCGUGAUAUGGUCAAAUCAAACUGAGAGGACUUUUGACACCUCUCAUGGAAUUUUAUUUGAAUUGAAGUUAAUUAAUAACAACAGAUAAAUUAAUUUAUUUUAUGUUUUAAAUAAAAGAUCAAUUAAAUACUUAAAUAAUUAUUUUUAAUAAAAUUUACACUCAUCUUCUUGUUUUGGGGAGGAAAAUAUGAGAUUCUUAAUUAAAUAGGUGAUUGAUCACUGUGGGACUGUGGGAUAGAGAAACCACUUGCCGGCCACCUCAUGUACUUGUUUAUUUUUUAUUUUUCUUGUUUUUAAAAAUUAUAUUUAUUUUUUAAUGCUCACUACUGAUUAUUUUAUUUAAUUUAAAAUUUUUUAGCUUUUUGAAAGAUUAAAUACAACAAUAAGCCUGUAACUAAAUAAUAUUAAAUGAAAUGAGAAUAAAUAAUAUUAAUUAAUAUUUUUUAAUAAAUAAAUGAUAUAAAAAAUUAAUUUUUAAAUAAAAUAUAAAAUAUUAAAAUAAAAUUUAUGUUUUAAGACUCGCUACUAAUUAAACAACAUAAAAUUUUAAACAAUUUGGACGUAUGUGCUAAAUGUUUAAUUCUUUAGCUCUUUUGCGCUUUUGAUAAAUAGCAGGGAGCAUAAUAUUAACAUUCAAAUAAAUGAAUCUCUACCCUUAAAUCUACCUUUUCAUUGAAUCCAUACCAAUAAUUAAAACCACAAAAAAAUAAAAUAAUGGUACCUUGCAAUUGUUGCAAGGUAGUUGAGUCCGAUUAAUUAAUACAACUUUGCAAAAGUGGAUCCUGCAUUUUUAUUGAAGUCUGUAUAUAUAGAAUGCUUUUCCUUCACUUUAUUAAAGUGUGAAAACACUUUUUAGAAUAUUGUAAAACUUUAGCUAUAAUGUUGAAUUAGUCAUUAUGGCGCUUUAAUAAAAUACUGGAACCCUUACCUAAUAAUUUUUUUGUGUGUAUGUAUGAGUGUAUAUUUAUACAUACAUACAAACAUAUCUAUAUAUAUAUUUUUUGAUGGAAUGGAUGAGAAAUCUCAUCCAUUAUAUAUAUAUAUAUUUUGAUGGAAUGGAUGAGAAAUCUCAUCCACAAAACAUGAACUGAUACUUUUAUUAUUAUCAUGUUACUAAUGCAAUGCACUAUAAGGAAAUUAACACUUUUUUUUUUUUUUGAAUACUGAUUAAUCAUCAUAUUACUGCAUUAUACAGAUAUUUACAACUGCUAUUAUAGCAGAUAUAUUACACUGAUAUUUACAAUCAGAAAUACAUGAUUGGGACUUAUAUUAUUACAUUGAAUUCUGUGAAGUACAUGCCCAGACAAAUAAUCCCUUACAGAAGAGGGAUGUCCAUACUCCACUCGUAUUGCACGAGGGAGAGGAAAUUUUUGAAAUAUUAAACAAAUAAGCACGUUAGCCCCCACAAAUGCUUUUGUGGGGGCUUGAACCGCUGCCCUCACAAGCAGCCCACCACUCCGACCAAGGCCGAAGUGGCAAAUUAACACUUUCUUGAACAUUAAAACACGUGUAAUUUUUUAAUAAACAAUAUGCCUGUUAAUAUGAAUUGACAUCUACAACUUAAAAUAGAUAUCUAAUACAAUGUAACUUUAUGAUGAGACUAGAUGACAUGCUCUAGUCCAACCGACCUGUGAAUGCGAAGUUUAGAUAUAUACCCCUAAAGGAGUAACGAAAAGAAAAAGAUCUUAUCAUCCAAAUGUAUUUUAUAAACUAUCUAGUGAGAAAUUACAACUCUAUUUAUUGUAGACCAAUUAGAAUUACUACUCAAAUAAGAGAAAUAUCCUCAAUCACAACAGAAAUAACAAAUUUGAUUCAAAUAAAAUUACUAAUUUAGACAAAGUUGAAUACAACCAUAAAACGAAAUUAACAUAAAAAUACAUCAAUACUUAGAUCUAGCACUCCAACAUUGUGAAAAGAUCUCAUAAAACAACUUCUUGAAGAGCUGCAUGUGUUGGGUUUGCAAGUUUACAACUGCAUAUAAGCUCCCAUCAUUGCUUGGACUUGGAAAAAUAUGUAUGGUCCCAUCUAUAGGGGUAAGCGUCCUUGCAAACAUUGGUCUUCCCCACCCAAAAUUUACAUAAAAAACAGGCAUAUGAAACACAUUGGAAAUAUUGAGGUUAGGACACUUAAAAGUGUGUGCUCCUCGUUUUAAAACUGUUAGAUCAGGUUGUUGGCUUAGGUAUGCAAGAGCUGAUUUCAAAUAUUCAUCGUCCAUCCGCAUUGUUGCUUCACGAAUUCUUUCUGUGGUAGAACUUGACGGUUCUGAUAUGAUAUCACCAGAUAAGCCAAUUGUUGUACCAGUGAAAGUUACAUUACCAAAAUACCCAGAUGGGAGCGGCGGAUCCAAUCUAGACCGUCCAUUUAUUGGAAUAUAUAAUUUACUCACUUGUUCAUUAGAAAGUCUACGUGCUUUACAUAAGCAACGCCAUAUAUGUGCAGCUAGUAUCUCAAACCUGGUGAACUUAAUUGGGGUUCCAUUGUCUUGCUUUGAUUUUGCCUUAAGUGUGUUGAUUUGAUCAACUGAUAUAUUAAAUAUAGCAGAGGAAAUGGAUUUAGGAUUUGCUUGGAGUUCUAUAUUUUGAGUAGGGACAUUCAUAGAAGGAGGUGGGUCGUAUUCUAUGUGAUGAAAUUUAGGAGAAGUUGGGAGCCCAAUACCUAGUAACGCUCGAUCAAUGAAUGGCGGAUUACUAAUAGGGACACCACGUGUGACCUCAGCCCAUGCAUUGAUGAAGUAGAUCAUUGAAGUUGCAUCAGCUAAUGUAUGGUGCAUUGCGACUGUAAGACAAACUCCUCCACACUUGAAAUGAGUUACCUAGUAGUAAAACAAAAUAUGUCAAUAACUAAGCAGACAAAAAAGGAGAAUAAAUUAUAGAAAUAUCUUGAUUCAUUCAUUCAUUCAUUUUCACAUAUAUACUUUAAUCAAUUGAGGUAAAUUGAUACACACGGGGCAAAUAUUGGAUGAUGGAUGGGCAGUGCCACAAGAGCACUAAAGACUCUCUUAAAUCAUCUACCUGGGUUAUUAGUAAUGGAUAAGAAGAUAUGUCUUUUGUGUAUUCAACCGAUGGAACGAGUUUCUGAAGCUCGAAGCUUGAUUCAAAGUCACCCAAAUCAUCAAGAACGUAACUUGUUUCAGCCUCCACAAACAAAACACCCUGUCCAUUACAUUUUAUCUCAAUUCUGCCAUUUUGAUCCCUUCCCAAUCUCCCAGCCACUGGGUAAAAUGGCACGAGAACUUUGCUUAACCCUUCCUUCAGCAGACCAGCUCCAAAGAAAUUAUUCGAAUCAUUUGGCUGCCUCUGCCUGAAGAAAUACAAGAAGGGGAUGUGAGCUGCCCGCGUCAAUAGGUCCAGUACAGAACUUUGUAGGCAAUGCUUUGGCGUCUCGUGGGCAGGGUGUAUCGUCGUUGACUUUUUUAUUUGAAUUUCCAUUGUAUCAGAAAGAAUUAUGCCAAUGAGAUCACCACCUGU